AUUGAACGCUGGCGGCAUGCUUUACACAUGCAAGUCGAACGGUAACAGGGUGCUUGCACCGCUGACGAGUGGCGAACGGGUGAGUAAUGCGUCGGAACGCACCGAGUAAUGGGGGAUAACGCAGCGAAAGCUGUGCUAAUACCGCAUACGCUCUGAGGAGGAAAGCGGGGGACCUUCGGGCCUCGCGUUAUUCGAGCGGCCGACGUCUGAUUAGCUAGUAGGUGAGGUAAGAGCUCACCUAGGCGACGAUCAGUAGCGGGUCUGAGAGGAUGAUCCGCCACACUGGGACGGAGACACGGCCCAGACUCAUACGGGAGGCAGCAGUGGGGAAUUUUGGACAAUGGGCGCAAGCCUGAUCCAGCCAUGCCGCGUGUCUGAAGAAGGCCUUCGGGUUGUAAAGGACUUUUGUCAGGGAGGAAAUCCCUAGCGCUAAUACCGUUGAGGGAUGACAGUACCUGAAGAAUAAGCACCGGCUAACUACGUGCCAGCCGCCGCCGUAA
rnacentral:rRNA from 1 species